GACGAACGCUGGCGGCGUGCUUAACACAUGCAAGUCGAACGAAGUGGCGAACGGGUGAGUAACGCGUAAUCAACCUGCCCUUCAGCGGGGGACAACAGUUGUAAACGACUGCUAAUACCGCCUACUGCCGGCGGUGAUUGCGUCGGAUUAGCUAGUUGGAGGGGUAACGGCCCACCGAGGCGAUGAUCAGUAGCCGGUCUGAGAGGGUGAACGGCCACAUUGGGACUGGGACACGGCCCAGACUCCUACGGGAGGCAGCAGUGGGGGAUCUUUCGCAAUGGACGAAAGUCUGACUGCGCAACGCCGCGUGAGUGAUGACGGCCUUCGGGUUGUAAAGCUCUGUUAAUCGGGACGCGGUACCGGAAGAGAAAGCAACGGCUAACUACGUGCCAGCAGCCGCGGUAAUAC
rnacentral:rRNA from 1 species